rnacentral:rRNA from 1 species
GCUUGACAUAUACGAGAACGGGCCAGAAAUGGUCAACUCUUUGGACACUCGUAAACAGGUGGUGCAUGGUUGUCGUCAGCUCGUGUCGUGAGAUGUUGGGUUAAGUCCCGCAACGAGCGCAACCCUCGUUCUAUGUUGCCAGCACGUAAUGGUGGGAACUCAUGGGAUACUGCCGGGGUCAACUCGGAGGAAGGUGGGGAUGACGUCAAAUCAUCAUGCCCCUUAUGUCUUGGGCUUCACGCAUGCUACAAUGGCCGGUACAAAGGGCUGCAAUACCGCGAGGUGGAGCGAAUCCCAAAAAGCCGGUCCCAGUUCGGAUUGAGGUCUGCAACUCGACCUCAUGAAGUCGGAGUCGCUAGUAAUCGCAGAUCAGCAACGCUACGGUGAAUANNNUCCCGGG